rnacentral:rRNA from 1 species
GUCGAGGGGCAUCGGGGAGCGAAGCUUGCUUUGCUCCGCCGGCGACCGGCGCACGGGUGAGUAACGCGUAUGCAACCUGCCCGUUUCAGCGGGAUAACCCGGAGAAAUCCGGCCUAAUACCGCAUGUGGCCGAGGGAAGGCAUCUUCUUUCGGCCAAAGGAGGCGACUCCGGAGACGGAUGGGCAUGCGUGACAUUAGCUUGUUGGCGGGGUAACGGCCCACCAAGGCGACGAUGUCUAGGGGUUCUGAGAGGAAGGUCCCCCACACUGGUACUGAGACACGGACCAGACUCCUACGGGAGGCAGCAGUGAGGAAUAUUGGUCAAUGGGCGAGAGCCUGAACCAGCCAAGUCGCGUGAAGGAUGACGGCCCUACGGGUUGUAAACUUCUUUUGUCAGGGAGCAAUUGGGUCCACGCGUGGGCUUAGCGAGAGUACCUGAAGAAAAAGCAUCGGCUAACUCCGUGCCAGCAGCCGCGGUAAUACGGAGGAUGCGAGCGUUAUCCGGAUUUAUUGGGUUUAAAGGGUGCGUAGGCGGAAUAUCAAGUCAGCGGUAAAAAUUCGGGGCUCAACCCCGUCGUGCCGUUGAAACUGAUGUUCUUGAGUGGGCGAGAAGUAUGCGGAAUGCGUGGUGUAGCGGUGAAAUGCAUAGAUAUCACGCAGAACUCCGAUUGCGAAGGCAGCAUACCGGCGCCCAACUGACGCUGAAGCACGAAAGCGUGGGUAUCGAACAGGAUUAGAUACCCUGGUAGUCCACGCAGUAAACGAUGAAUGCUAAUUGUCCGGAGGGAUUGACCUCUGGGUGAUACAGCGAAAGCGUUAAGCAUUCCACCUGGGGAGUACGCCGGCAACGGUGAAACUCAAAGGAAUUGACGGGGGCC